AAAAUAUUAGAUUGCACAUUUCUCUCUUAGAGUAUUUUCUAUAACAUUAAGAAACAAUGUCAGGUAUCUCAGAAGAAAUAAAAUGUUGCAAUUUCUGGGUGCGGAGAAUGUAUAUCAGCUUCUCUAGCAUUGCAAACACAUGUGCGCAGUAAUGAAGACUAGCAAUGUCUUUGAGGUUGAGACUCAGUUCUGAAUAGAGAGAUCUACAGUGUAUCAUCAACCUGUCCAGAUAUUAUGAUGUUAGCAUAUUUCAUUAACUCAGUUUGUGGUUUUUUUGUUUGUUUAUUUGUUGCCUGGUAUUGAGAUAAAUUGAAACAAAUUUGGGUACAAGAAAAGCAAUGUCAUUAGGCCUGGAACACUAAGUUGGAAAGAGAAAUGAGUAGAACCUCACCUUGCACUUUGUAAACCUGACACGUAGUUCUGUUAGACUAGGCAUUUAGUUGCCAAAAGUAUGGUGACUACGUCUCUGCAGCAGUGUAGCUCCAGUCCCAAAGAUUGGACAGACAAAAAUGGAGAUAAGGAUGUAGAGUAGAUACCAUUCAAGAUUGUGGCAGCUGAAUGGGUAUUUCUAAUUUAUGAUUUCAAAUGCAUGCCCUGAGUUCUUUACUGAAUCUUGCCGUUAAUCAUUUCUAAACAAUUGACAAGAAUACAUCUUUUUCCAGUCUAGUCUGCCACGGGCCUUAUGUGGCCUCUCUUCAGACAUUGGAUAUUAUGCUUUAAAAAAUUACAUUAUUUUUCUAAUGAAUUGUUCUGUAUUACCAUUUGUAAAUGAAAAA
rnacentral:lncRNA from 1 species